UACGUAGGGUGCGAGCGUUAAUCGGAAUUACUGGGCGUAAAGCGUGCGUAGGUGGUGAGUUAAGUCUGAUGUGAAAUCCCCGGGCUCAACCUGGGAAUGGCAUUGGAUACUGGCUCGCUAGAGUGCGGUAGAGGGUGGUGGGAUUCCCGGUGUAGCAGUGAAAUGCGUAGAGAUCGGGAGGAACAUCUGUGGCGAAGGCGGCCACCUGGACCAACACUGACACUGAGGCACGAAAGCGUGGGGAGCAAACAGG
rnacentral:rRNA from 1 species